ACCCUUGUGGAGGAGGACGCCGAAGGUGGGGCUAAUGACUGGGGUGAAGUCGUAACAAGGUAGCCGUACCGGAAGGUGCGGCUGGAUCACCUCCUAACAGGGAGACAACAAAAUGUUUAAUAUUAUUAUUUUGUCACCUUAGGUCGAUCGGUAUCUCACGUUUUUAAUUUAUUAAGAAUUUCAUUUCCUAAGUUUUUCUAGGUCACACCCAUUAUUUUUCCUGGGCCAUUAGCUCAGGUGGUUAGAGCGCACCCCUGAUAAGGGUGAGGUCCCUGGUUCAAGUCCAGGAUGGCCCAUAUCUCUAUGUUGGGGGUAUAGCUCAGUUGGUAGAGCGCCUGCUUUGCAAGCAGGAUGUCAGCGGUUCGAGUCCGCUUACCUCCACUGAUUACCACCUCUUCCAUAACCGGUAGAAAGGAAAUGUUUUGAGUUGUGAUCAAAUCCUGAAAGAAUCUAGCUUCCUAAUGAAAUCAUUAAGAUGCUGGACUCAUUGAAUUAACUUCAUUGUUUUCAGAGAACCUUGACAACUGCAUAGAUUAUUUUUAAAGACAAUAAGCAUCUUUAAUGAUGCAGAUUUAUUAUUUGUGCGAAUGCAUUAAUAACAAUUCUAUUAAGCUGAUGCUUCAAUUUUUGAAGUUAUUGGUCAAGCUACAAAGGGCUCACGGAGGAUACCUAGGCACACA
rnacentral:misc_RNA from 1 species